GGGGGAUGACAGACAACACGACAAGGAAGCACAGUUUGAGCUGAUGCAUUGCUGAUCGACACUGUCACACAGAGGCUAUCUCUGCUGACGCAC